UACGUAGGGUGCGAGCGUUGUCCGGAAUUAUUGGGCGUAAAGAGCUUGUAGGCGGUUUGUCGCGUCUGCCGUGAAAAUCCGGGGCUCAACCCCGGACUUGCGGUGGGUACGGGCAGACUAGAGUGUGGUAGGGGAGACUGGAAUUCCUGGUGUAGCGGUGAAAUGCGCAGAUAUCAGGAGGAACACCGGUGGCGAAGGCGGGUCUCUGGGCAGUAACUGACGCUGAGGAGCGAAAGCGUGGGUAGCGAACAGG
rnacentral:rRNA from 1 species